rnacentral:sRNA from 1 species
GUUUGCACUUGUCGGGGAAGGGUGAGAACCUUCGAUUAAGGUUCGACUCGAGCGAAAGCGAGAGAACGUUGCCAACGGCAACGGCCCGUAGGGUGAG